rnacentral:rRNA from 1 species
AGAGUUUGAUCCUGGCUCAGAACGAACGGUGGCGGUGUGCUUACUACAUGCAAGUCGAGCGGGCCUCGGGGGCAACUCUGGGGUUUAGCGGCGGACGGGUGAGUAAAGUAUAGAUGACCUGCCUUCGAGAGGGGGAUAACGCUUCGAAAGGGGUGCUAAUACCGCGUAAAGUCAGGUUCGCGCAUGCGAGUUUGAUGAAAGUGGGGGAGCCCGCGAGGGUCCUCACGCUCGGAGAGGGGUCUAUAUCCUAUUAGCUAGUUGGCGGGGUAAGAGCCCACCAAGGCGAUGAUGGGUAGCCGGCCUGAGAGGGUGUUCGGCCACAUGGGCACUGAGACACGGGCCCGACUCCUACGGGAGGCAGCAGUAGGAAUAUUGGGCAAUGGGCGAAAGCCUGACCCAGCGACACCGCGUGGAUGACAGAAGGCCUUCGGGUUGUAAAGUCCUAACACACAUUAAGAAAGCUGCGAGGUUAAUAGCUUUGUAGUUUGACAAAGGUGUGAGAUGAAGUCAUGGCUAACUCUGUGCCAGCAGCCGCGGUAAUACAGAGAUGGCAACCGUUGUUCGGAAUCACUGGGCUUAAAGAGCACGUAGGCGGAAUGUUAAGUUGGUUGUGAAAGACCACGGCUUACCCGUGGGAAGUCAGCCAAAACUGGCAUUCUGGAGGUCAGUAGGGGAGAGUGGAAUUCCUGGUGGAGCGGUGAAAUGCGUUGAUAUCAGGAGGAACGCCGGAGGUGAAGACGACUCUCUGGACUGAACCUGACGCUGAGGUGCGAAAGCUAGGGGAGCAAACGGGAUUAGAUACCCCGGUAGUCCUAGCCGUAAACGAUGGGUACUAAGUAGGGGGGGUCAUACCUCUCUGCCGGAGCAAAAGUGUUAAGUACCCCGCCUGGGGAGUAUGGUCGCAAGGCUGAAACUCAAAGGAAUUGACGGGGGCUCGCACAAGCGGUGGAGCAUGUGGUUUAAUUCGAAACAACGCGAAGAACCUUACCUGGGCUUGACAUUCUGGGAUUAGCUGCCUGAAAGGGUAGUGACGUUCCUUCGGGAAUGGAACCAGAACAGGUGUUGCGUGGCUGUCGUCAGCUCGUGCCGUGAGGUGUUGGGUUAAGUCCCCUAACGAGCGAAACCUUUGUCCUUAGUUGCCAGCGGGUAAUGCCGGGGACUCUAAGGAGACUGCAGACGUUAAGUCUGAGGAAGGUGGAGACGACGUCAAGUCAUCAUGGCCCUUAUGCCCAGGGCGACACACGUGCUACAAUGGUCGGUACAAAGGGAAGCAAGACCGCAAGGUGGAGCAAAUCCCAAAGAGCCGAUCUCAGUUCGGAUUGAGGGCUGCAAUUCGCCCUCAUGAAGCUGGAAUCGCUAGUAAUCGUGGGUCAGCUAUACCACGGUGAAUGUGUUCCCGAGCCUUGUACACACCGCCCGUCAAGCCACCGAAGCAGGGGUAGCCUGAAGUCACUGACCCAACCCGCAAGGGAGGGAGGUGCCCAAGGAAGCUUCUGUGACGGGGACUAAGUCGAAACAAGGUA